AACGAACGCUGGCGGCAUGCCUAACACAUGCAAGUCGAACGAGACCUUCGGGUCUAGUGGCGCACGGGUGCGUAACGCGUGGGAAUCUACCCUUGGGUUCGGAAUAACAGUUAGAGAUGACUGCUAAUACCGGAUGAUGACGUAAGUCCAAAGAUUUAUCGCCCAAGGAUGAGCCCGCGUAAGAUUAGCUUGUUGGUGGGGUAAUGGCCUACCAAGGCGACGAUCUUUAGCUGGUCUGAGAGGAUGAUCAGCCACACUGGGACUGAGACACGGACCAAAUUACUACGGGGGGCAUCGGUGGGCAAUUUUGGACAAUGGGCGAGAGCCUGUUCCAGCAAUGCCGCGUGAGUGAUGAAGGACUUGGGGUUGUAAAGCUCUUUUACCAGGGAUGAUAAUGACAGUACCUGGAGAAUAAGCUCCGGCUAACUCCGUGCCAGCAGCCGCCGUAA
rnacentral:rRNA from 1 species